rnacentral:sRNA from 1 species
GAACCCAGGGAGGGGUAACCCUCCUUGGGGGAGAGCGGCGAACGGGUGAGUAUCACGUGGGCAACCUGCCCCAGACACUGGGAUAACUCCGGGAAACCGGGGCUAAUACCGGAUACUUCGAUCGGUCCGCAUGGUCCGAUCGAGAAAGCUCCGACGGUCUGGGAUGGGCCCGCGGCCUAUCAGCUUGUUGGCGGGGUAACGGCCCACCAAGGCGACGACGGGUAGCUGGUCUGAGAGGACGGCCAGCCACACUGGGAUUGAGACACGGGCCAGACGGCCUACGGGAGGCAGUCAGUGGUG